rnacentral:piRNA from 1 species
UCUACACACAGUAGUGAGUCGUAAGUGAAA